rnacentral:rRNA from 1 species
GAUGAACGCUGGCGGUAUGCUUAACACAUGCAAGUCGAACGGGAUGCUUGGGCAUCUAGUGGCGGACGGGUGAGUAACGCGUGAGAAUCUGGCUCCAGGUCGGGGAUAACAGUUGGAAACGACUGCUAAUACCGGAUGUGCCGAAAGGUGAAAGAUUUAUUGCCUGGAGAUGAGCUCGCGUCUGAUUAGCUAGUUGGUGGUGUAAGGGACCACCAAGGCGUCGAUCAGUAGCUGGUCUGAGAGGAUGAUCAGCCACACUGGGACUGAGACACGGCCCAGACUCCUACGGGAGGCAGCAGUGGGGAAUUUUCCGCAAUGGGCGAAAGCCUGACGGAGCAAUACCGCGUGAGGGAGGAAGGCUCUUGGGCCGUAAACCUCUUUUCUCAAGGAAGAAGAAAGUGACGGUACUUGAGGAAUAAGCAUCGGCUAACUCCGUGCCAGCAGCCGCGGUAAUACGGAGGAUGCAAGCGUUAUCCGAAAUGAUUGGGCGUAAAGGGUCUGCAGGUGGAACUGAAAGUCUGCUGUUAAAGAGUUUGGCUUAACCAAAUAAAAGCGGUGGAAACUACAGAACUAGAGUGCGGUAGGGGCAAAAGGAAUUCCUGGUGUAGCGGUGAAAUGCGUAGAUAUCAGGAAGAACACCGGUGGCGAAAGCGUUUUGCUAGACCGUAACUGACACUGAGGGACGAAAGCUAGGGGAGCGAAUGGGAUUAGAUACCCCAGUAGUCCUAGCCGUAAACGAUGGAUACUAGGCGUGGCUUGUAUCGACCCGAGCCGUGCCGGAGCUAACGCGUUAAGUAUCCCGCCUGGGGAGUACGCACGCAAGUGUGAAACUCAAAGGAAUUGACGGGGGCCCGCACAAGCGGUGGAGUAUGUGGUUUAAUUCGAUGCAACGCGAAGAACCUUACCAAGACUUGACAUCCUGCGAAUCCCGGUGAAAGCUGGGAGUGCCUUAGGGAGCGCAGAGACAGGUGGUGCAUGGCUGUCGUCAGCUCGUGUCGUGAGAUGUUGGGUUAAGUCCCGCAACGAGCGCAACCCUCGUUUUUAGUUGCCAGCAUUAAGUUGGGCACUCUAGAGAGACUGCCGGUGACAAACCGGAGGAAGGUGAGGAUGACGUCAAGUCAGCAUGCCCCUUACGUCUUGGGCUACACACGUACUACAAUGCUACGGACAGAGGGCAGCGAGCCAGGGAUGGCAAGCGAAUCCAGAAACCGUAGCUCAGUUCAGAUCGAAGGCUGCAACUCGCCUUCGUGAAGGAGGAAUCGCUAGUAAUUGCAGGUCAGCAUACUGCAGUGAAUUCGUUCCCGGGCCUUGUACACACCGCCCGUCACACCAUGGAAGUUGGUCACGCCCGAAGUCAUUACCCCAACCGAAAGGAGGGGGAUGCCUAAGGUAGGACUGGUGACUGGGGUG